GGGUACAGUGGGGUGGGUUUGAAGCGGGAACCGGGACUGGAGACUGGCGCUCCCUAGAGCUCCGAGGUCCCCACACAGUGCGAUCCGGAGCGCGGGUGGAACUCCAGCUCCUCCGUCGCGAGAGUCUGCAUCUCUAUUCCCGCAGAGAAACGCAGCAGUUUUGGGUGUCAGCGCCCCUUUUGUCCCGUACCUGAACCCCGGUGACUCCGUGAGCCGCUGGGUCUGAACCUCCUGGCACCCUCUGUCGCGGGGAUCCCGGACUGCGCGCGGUGCGGACGGUGGGCUUGAGCACCUGAUGGAUCUGGCUUGCAGGCUCCGCAGACUCCAGCACGAAGCUUUCUGGGCUGCUCCGGGCGACUUCUGUGUGCCUAGACCCCUCCAGUCUCUGUGUGCGUGGAAACGCCAAGGCAGCAUGAGGAAGAAGGAAAAGCAGUCUUUCGGAGGGCAGCCUGGAAAGGAAGGGGCUGACUUCCUCCCUUAGAGGGCUGGUAAGGGGAGGAAGCUUCCUCUCUGAUUUGUAUCCCGCUUCAGGUUUGCCUAUGCUGGUUUGGCGUCUGCAUUGCACAUCCUCCAACCACAGGAUGUGCACAGCGGGCACAGCUCCCCACUGUGUCCUUGCCGUCCACCUGCCCGCGGGCCAGUCGGCAUCCACGGAGGGAAAAUCUGCGGAACACACUCGGGUCUGCGCUGCACGGGCGCCCUUCCUCCUGGACAAGAUGCUGAGAGCCAUCUGACAUUUGUGCACAUAAGGAACCGAAUCACACCCUCUUUUAAGAUGGAAAUCAGACAGUUCAUUUCUUAGCCAGAAGAUGGAUGAGUUUACACUGGCUGUGACAGGACAUGCCUUUGGAGGACUUUGGGUAGAAUUAAAAGAGCAUUACUCACAAGACUGUAGUGCUGGUCUGAGCUAAUCACCUCCUGCCCAUAUGAUCUUUGGCCAGUGACUUGGCUUAGCUGAAUCCUCGAUUCUCCAACAUAAAAGAUGGUACAAUCCUCACCACUGUCUUGUGAGAUUUUUAUCAAUUGAUGCAAUGUGUGUGAAAUUGUUUUGCAAACAAGAUUCUAUACAUAUCAGUUGUGUAAAAAAUAUAAUUUUAACCCGGAAUUGUAACCUGAAAUGAAAACUUUAUCCCCCACGUACUUCUCAGCCAACAGUGUUAUCUUUUCCUCUUCCAUGUCAGGGCCGUGUCACCUCUUUGAUCACUACAGGGUGCCUGGAAAAUUAUCCUGAUGAAUUGUAGAUAUUCAAUAAGUCCCUGUUGGCCUAAAAGCUAUCAAGAAGAAAAAAAUGGUAAAUUGGACCUCAUCAUUAUUGAAAGUGCUCAUUCUGUGAAAGACUCUUAAGAGGAUGAAAAGUAAAGUAACUGACAAAGACUUGCAUCUAAAAUAUUGAGAAUUCUUGACAUUCAAUAGUAAAAAUAGUGGGGGAAAGGUAAUAAGGGAGAGGAAAAAAUGUGAGAAAUUGAAAAAAAUGGAAAUAAAGUGUUUGUAAAUGAGGAGGGGAGGAGGGGGUGAAGGGAGGGCAGAGACAAGGGGAAAAAAUGAGAAUCAAGACCUAUUAUGUAAAGGUACAGGAUCCCAAUGAUGAAUGUAACUGUAUUGUAUACCUAGAUUGUACCUAUAAACUCAAUAAAAAGAAAAAAAACCCAAAAAACAAAACAAAACAACAAAAAAAGUAAAAAUAAACCUCAAGCAAUCCAGUUAGAAAAUGGACAAAGAGACCAUGAAGAGAUAUUUCACCAGAGUUUAUACAACUGGCAAAUAAGCACAUUGAAAGAUGUUUGAUGUGAUUACCCAUCAAUUAAAUGCAGACUACAACCACACUGAGGUGGGUCUAACCCCAUCAAACCGGGCA
ensembl:lincRNA